rnacentral:rRNA from 1 species
AGCGAACGCUGGCGGCAGGCCUAAUACAUGCAAGUCGAACGGUGUCUUCGGACAUAGUGGCGCACGGGUGCGUAACACGUAUGCAACCUACCUUACAUUGGGGGAUAGCCUUUCGAAAGGGAGAUUAAUACCGCAUAAGACAGUAGCUGGGCAUCCAGCAGCUGUUAAAGAUUUAUCGAUGUAAGCUGGGCAUGCGUCCAAUUAGCUAGUUGGUGAGGUAACGGCUCACCAAGGCAAUGAUUGGUAGGGGAACUGAGAGGUCAAUCCCCCACACUGGCACUGAGAUACGGGCCAGACUCCUACGGGAGGCAGCAGUAGGGAAUAUUGGGCAAUGGACGCAAGUCUGACCCAGCCAUGCCGCGUGCAGGAUGAAGGCGUUAUGCGUUGUAAACUGCUUUUAUACAGGAAGAAACGACUCUUGCGAGAGGCAUUGACGGUACUGUAUGAAUAAGCACCGGCUAACUCCGUGCCAGCCGCCGCCGUAACAC